rnacentral:rRNA from 1 species
AGUGAACGCUGGCGGUAGGCCUAACACAUGCAAGUCGAACGGCAGCACAGUAAGAGCUUGCUCUUACGGGUGGCGAGUGGCGGACGGGUGAGGAAUACAUCGGAAUCUACUUUUUCGUGGGGGAUAACGUAGGGAAACUUACGCUAAUACCGCAUACGACCUACGGGUUAAAGCAGGGGAUCUUCGGACCUUGCGCGAUUGAAUGAGCCGAUGUCGGAUUAGCUAGUUGGCGGGGUAAAGGCCCACCAAGGCGACGAUCCGUAGCUGGUCUGAGAGGAUGAUCAGCCACACUGGAACUGAGACACGGUCCAGACUCCUACGGGAGGCAGCAGUAGGGAAUAUUCGACAAUGGGCGCAAGCCUGAUCCAGCCAUACCGCGUGAGUGAUGAAGGCCUUCGGGUUGUAAAGCCCUUUUGUUGGGAAAGAAAAGAAGCAGGUUAAUACCCGGCUGUUCUGACGGUACCCAAAGAAUAAGCACCGGCUAACUUCGUG